rnacentral:rRNA from 1 species
UACAGAGGUCCCAAGCGUUGUUCGGAAUUACUGGGCGUAAAGCGCGCGCAGGCGGUUCUUCAAGUCAGAGGUGAAAGCCCAGAGCUCAACUCUGGAAUGGCCUUUGAGACUAGAGAACUUGGGUACGGGAGAGGUGAGUGGAAUUCCGAGUGUAGAGGUGAAAUUCGUAGAUAUUCGGAAGAACACCAGUGGCGAAGGCGGCUCACUGGCCCGUUACCGACGCUCAGGCGCGACAGCGUGGGGAGCAAACAGG